rnacentral:rRNA from 1 species
CCUACGGGAGGCAGCAGUGGGGAAUUUUCCGCAAUGGGCGAAAGCCUGACGGAGCAAGACCGCGUGGGGGAAGAAGGCUCUUGGGUUGUAAACCCCUUUUCUCUGGGAAGAACAAAAUGACGGUACCAGAGGAAUCAGCAUCGGCUAACUCCGUGCCAGCAGCCGCGGUAAGACGGAGGAUGCAAGCGUUAUCCGGAAUGAUUGGGCGUAAAGCGUCCGCAGGUGGCAGUUCAAGUCUGCUGUCAAAGACCGGGGCUUAACCUCGGAAAGGCAGUGGAAACUGAACAGCUAGAGUAUGGUAGGGGCAAAGGGAAUUCCUGGUGUAGCGGUGAAAUGCGUAGAGAUCAGGAAGAACAUCGGUGGCGAAGGCGCUUUGCUGGACCAUAACUGACACUCAGGGACGAAAGCUAGGGGAGCGAAUGGGAUUAGAUACCCCAGUAGUCCUAGCCGUAAACGAUGGAUACUAGGUGUUGUCUGUAUCGACCCGGACAGUGCCGUAGCUAACGCGUUAAGUAUCCCGCCUGGGGAGUACGGCACGCAAGUGUGAAACUCAAAGGAAUUGACGG